CUCUCCUCUUCUGCCUUCUCUUUUCCUAACACUCUAGGCAUGGAGUACUAUUCCUCCAUCUCCUGGGCGUCACGCCUCUCUCCUCCACCCUGGCUGACCACUGCAGUGCAUCCACGAGCUUUUGCAAGCAAUGGUUAAACAGGAAGAAGUGACCUGCAGGGUGGAACGCCUAUCAGCAAGCUGAAGAUAGAUCAAUGAAGGGGGGCCAUUGAAGAAGGAGAGCUGUGUGCUGCUCUACAGUCAGAGAGAUAGGGUGGGAUUUCACAGACUAGCAGCACAUGCUCUCACCACGCUGAGAGCUGAAAGACGUAUAGUACACGUGUGUGCUUGCAGUAGAAGGCCCUGACGUUCUUGGGACUGUCGCUUUUGAGGAAAAGGCAAGACAAUAUGACGACAGAGGGGGGUCCCAGGCCACAUCCACUGCCAGAGAAGCUGUUCCACUUUUCCAAUUGUUUUUUUUCCUCUCGCCCUCUGCCCCCGGUGGGAAAGUAUUUAGGACUUUAGGUCUGUGACAAAUAAAAAUGUCAUCCCUGCUCAAGUCUGCCGCGAUUGUUUGUGGGCAAACCGGUGCUCGGAGGUCUUGAGAUGUUGCCGUACAGUGAGAGGAGAUGCUGGGAAUGGCUCCGUCCCCUUCACACGCCACCUUUGGUCAAGCCUAAGUUCUGGAACACCGCUGGCCUUUCCUUAACAAUGCCACUCGCCACAUAGGGGGUCCCCUCGAACCCAGAGCUCAAACAAAUUCACAUAGAAACACCAUUGUACAGUAAAAGCCUUUUCAAUACGACCACCAACUGACACAGCUCGUCUCAGUUUAAGGGGGGAGGAAAGUGACUCAAAAACAAGUAACAAUGAAAAAGAAAUGUGUAUGAGUCAGAACUGUGUAAAUCUGAGAUACUGGAAAAACAAAAACAAAUUCAUGUGUUUUUAUACUAAAACAACUGCGCUAUAUAGCGAUAUUUGUAAAGCAUUCACCACUUGGGAGUUAAUGGGAGGGGCACGUUUUUGUUUUGAAACAACCGAUUUUUAAAUACAACGUGAUACAG